GGCCUCUUCGCGCUUACCACAGGCAGUGUUCUUACACAGCUUGUACGGAAAGGGGAUGCAGAGUAAACCUACCCCAUAUACACCUCAGCCCAGCCCCUCUGCCUGGCUUGCAGUAUGAACAAGAGGACAUGA